rnacentral:rRNA from 1 species
GUCCACGCCCUAAACGAUGUCAACUAGUUGUCGGGGAAGUUAUUCCUUGGUAACGAAGCUAACGCGUGAAGUUGACCGCCUGGGGAGUACGGCCGCAAGGUUAAAACUCAAAGGAAUUGACGGGGACCCGCACAAGCGGUGGAUUAUGUGGAUUAAUUCGAUGCAACGCGAAAAAACCUUACCUACCCUUGACAUGUGCGGAAGGGGGUAGAGAUACCUCGGUGCCCGAAAGGGAACCGCAACACAGGUGCUGCAUGGCUGUCGU